rnacentral:pre_miRNA from 1 species
AAUAUACUCUCUCCGUUCCAUAAUUCUUGUCGAAAUAUUAUAUGUAUCUAGACACGUUUUAGAAAUAGAUACAUCUAUUUUUAGGCAAAUUUGAGACAAGAAUUAUGACACAAAGGGAGUAUUUG